GACGAACGCUGGCGGCGUGCUUAACACAUGCAAGUCGAACGGAAAGGCCUGCUUUCCCUUGUGGAUUGCGGGUACUCGAGUGGCGAACGGGUGAGUAACACGUGAGUGAUCUGCCCCCAACUUGGGUAUAAGCCUGGGAAACUGGGUCUAAUUCCCGAUAGGACUGCAGGGUGGUGCCUGUGGUGGAAAACGAUUUUCUAGUGGUUGGGGAUGAGCUCGCGGCCUAUCAGCUUGUUGGUGGGGUAAUGGCCUACCAAGGCGGCGACGGGUAGCCGGCCUGAGGGGGUGGACGGCAACAUUGGGACUGAGAUACGGCCCAGACUCCUACGGGAGGCAGCAGUGGGGAAUAUUGCACAAUGGGCGGAAGCCUGAUGCAGCGACGCCGCGUGGGGGAUGACGGCCUUCGGGUUGUAAACUCCUUUCGACCGCGAGGAAGCCACCUGGUUGGAAGGGUGGUGACGGUAGUGGUAGAAGAAGCACCGGCUAACUACGUG
rnacentral:rRNA from 1 species